rnacentral:rRNA from 1 species
AGUGAACGCUGGCGGUAGGCCUAACACAUGCCAGUCGAACGGCAGCACAGUAAGAGCUUGCUCUUACGGGUGGCGAGUGGCGGACGGGUGAGGAAUACAUCGGAAUCUACUUUUUCGUGGGGGAUAACGUAGGGAAACUUACGCUAAUACCGCAUACGACCUACGGGUGAAAGCAGGGGAUCUUCGGACCUUGCGCGAUUGAAUGAGCCGAUGUCGGAUUAGCUAGUUGGCGGGGUAAAGGCCCACCAAGGCGACGAUCCGUAGCUGGUCUGAGAGGCUGAUCAGCCACACUGGAACGGAGACACGGUCCAGACUCCUACGGGAGGCAGCAGUGGGGAAUAUUGGACAAUGGGCGCAAGCCUGAUCCAGCCAUACCGCGUGGGUGAAGAAGGCCUUCGGGUUGUAAAGCCCUUUUGUUGGGAAAGAAAAGCAGCAGGUUAAUACCCCGCUGUUCUGACGGUACCCAAAGAAUAAGCACCGGCUAACUUCGUG